GACGAACGCUGGCGGCGUGCUUAACACAUGCAAGUCGAACGGAAAGGCCUGCUUUCCCUUGUGGAUUGCGGGUACUCGAGUGGCGAACGGGUGAGUAACACGUGAGUGAUCUGCCCCCAACUUGGGUAUAAGCCGGGGAAACUGGGUCUAAUUCCCGAUAGGACUGCAGGGUGGUGCCGGGGUUGGAAAACGAUUUUCUAGUGGUUGGGGAUGAGCUCGCGGCCUAUCAGCUUGUUGGUGGGGUAAUGGCCUACCAAGGCGGCGACGGGUAGCCGGCCUGAGAGGGUGGACGGCCACAUUGGGACUGAGAUACGGCCCAGACUCCUACGGGAGGCAGCAGUGGGGAAUAUUGCACAAUGGGCGGAAGCCUGAUGCAGCGACGCCGCGUGGGGGAUGACGGCCUUCGGGUUGUAAACUCCUUUCGACCGCGAGGAAGCCACCUGGUUGGAAGGGUGGUGACGGUAGUGGUAGAAGAAGCACCGGCUAACUACGUG
rnacentral:rRNA from 1 species